rnacentral:lncRNA from 1 species
GUUGCCAAAGUAGCAGAGCAUGUCUUUAACCAAGAAGCCCCAAUGUGUUACAACUGGAUAAGGUGUCUGUGCAACAGCCCCAAUGUGUUACAACAGGAUAAGGUGUCUAUGUGAACAGCCCCAAUGUGUUACAGACAGGACAAGGUGUCUAUGUGAACAGCCCCAAUGUGUUACAGACAGGACAAGGUGUCUAUGUGAACAGCCCCAAUGUGUUACAGACAGGACAGGGU